rnacentral:rRNA from 1 species
UUGACCUCGGAUCAGGUAGGAUUACCCGCUGAACUUAAGCAUAUCAAUAAGCGGAGGAAAAGAAACCAACAGGGAUUGCCCCAGUAACGGCGAGUGAAGCGGCAACAGCUCAAAUUUGAAAUCUGGCCUUCGGGUCCGAGUUGUAAUUUGGAGAGGAUGCUUUUGGCGCGGCGCCGUCCGAGUUCCUUGGAACAGGACGCCAUAGAGGGUGAGAGCCCCGUACGGGCGGCCGCCUAGCCUUUGUAAAGCUCCUUCGACGAGUCGAGUAGUUUGGGAAUGCUGCUCAAAAUGGGAGGUAAAUUUCUUCUAAAGCUAAAUACCGGCCAGAGACCGAUAGCGCACAAGUAGAGUGAUCGAAAGAUGAAAAGCACUUUGAAAAGAGGGUUAAAAAGUACGUGAAAUUGUUGAAAGGGAAGCGCCUGUGACCAGACUUGCGACCCGUGGAUCAUCCGGUGUUCUUCACCGGUGCACUCCGCGGGCUGCAGGCCAGCAUCGGUUUUCCUAGGGGGUUAAAGGUCGCAGGAACGUAGCUCUUUCGGGAGUGUUAUAGCCUGUGGCGUCAUGCCUCUGGGGAGACCGAGGACCGCGCUUCGGCAAGGAUGCUGGCGUAAUGGUCACCGGCGACCCGUCUUGAAACACGGACC